UGCAUCCAUGUCUGCCAGCCUCUGUGGCCACACGUCUCCACCUGUCUGUUCUUCCACGUCUGUCUCUGACCUUGGGUCCUGUGGCUUGGCAGCACAAGGGCAUUGAGGGUGGGCAGCAUGCUGCUUCCAUUGGCCUAGCCCAUGGAGUGGGGCCGAGGGAUCACUGGGAUUGUGGAGGGGAUAGGGAUUAAUAACUGGCCUUCGAGAUGCCUUGUCCCUCCUGUCCCACAGCUCCAGGCCCCUCUGCGGCGGUUCCUGAGACAGGAGAUGGUCAUCGAAGUGAAGGCGAUCGGUGGCAAGAAGGACCGGUCUCUCUUCCUGUUCACGGACCUCAUCGUCUGCACCACUCU
rnacentral:sRNA from 1 species